UACGUAGGGGGCAAGCGUUGUCCGGAUUUAUUGGGCGUAAAGAGCGUGUAGGCGGUUUGGUAGGUCCGUUGUGAAAACUCGAGGCUCAACCUCGAGACGCCGAUGGAAACCAUCAGACUAGAGUCCGGAAGAGGAGAGUGGAAUUCCUGGUGUAGCGGUGGAAUGCGUAGAGAUCAGGAAGAACACCCGUGGCGAAGGCGGCACUCUGGGCCUGUACUGACGCUGAGACGCGAAAGCGUGGGGAGCGAACAGG
rnacentral:rRNA from 1 species